rnacentral:rRNA from 1 species
GACGAACGCUGGCGGCGUGCUUAACACAUGCAAGUCGAACGGAAAGGCCCUGCUUUUGUGGGGUGCUCGAGUGGCGAACGGGUGAGUAACACGUGAGUAACCUGCCCUUGACUUUGGGAUAACUUCAGGAAACUGGGGCUAAUACCGGAUAGGAGCUCCUGCUGCAUGGUGGGGGUUGGAAAGUUUCGGCGGUUGGGGAUGGACUCGCGGCUUAUCAGCUUGUUGGUGGGGUAGUGGCUUACCAAGGCUUUGACGGGUAGCCGGCCUGAGAGGGUGACCGGCCGCAUUGGGACUGAGAUACGGCCCAGACUCCUACGGGAGGCAGCAGUGGGGAAUAUGGCACAAUGGGCGGAAGCCUGAUGCAGCAACGCCGCGUGCGGGAUGACGGCCUUCGGGUUGUAAACCGCUUUCGCCUGUGACGAAGCGUGAGUGACGGUAAUGGGUAAAGAAGCACCGGCUAACUACGG